rnacentral:rRNA from 1 species
UUUAACUGAAGAGUUUGAUCAUGGCUCAGAUUGAACGCUGGCGGCAGGCCUAACACAUGCAAGUCGAGCGGUAGAGAAGGAGCUUGCUUCUUCUUGAGAGCGGCGGACGGGUGAGUAAUGCCUAGGAAUCUGCCUGGUAGUGGGGGACAACGUUUCGAAAGGAACGCUA